GAUAUUUCAUCAUUCUACUACAACUAUUUAAAACCGUCUGCCUUUUAUAACCACUGAAACGCGCAUGUAACCAACGACUAUAAAAAUAUCUAGUGUAAAUACAUGUUGUGUGUAUAGUCUGAAAUCAUACAGGCGAGGAAUAUAUUCGAGUUUGUGUCCGAAAACUAAAUAUUCGCUAAAGAUAGCUUAAACCCAUGUCUCUAUUUUCCUUUGCAAUGAUGGUGAUUUUUCUUCAUCACGUCACGUCAUCACCAGUAAAACAUCAGGGUAAACUUUUGCCCCGGAAUGAGCUAAGGGAUAUUUCAACUCGCUGGCAGAUGUUCAAUCAUCAUCUGCUCAAGACGGUGCUGCAGAUGAAGGAAAAGAAAACCGUAUCUAAAAAGAUGGAUUGUAAAAGUGAAUACUUCAGUCCUACAAAAGUCUGCAAGCUUAAAAUAUGUACGAUGAUGACACGGAGUUUAAAUUCGAAGAAAAUUCCACGUUCAAAUGACUGAUAAUGUUGACUUUCGUGGAAAGCAGUUACUAAAAUCAGUAUUUUAACUUGAACAGUUUUUGUUCAACAUUCCAGACUUCCAGCAGAGUGCAUAGUUUUCGUUUGAAGCGGAACGCCAUAUAGCAUAUCUAUAGUGUAGUUUUAUGUGCAAUGUUCAUGAUUGAAAUAAUACGAAAUUCCCAGAACAUUAUUCGGAAAAUCAAAGGAAGAAGGAUUUUCGAACAGCUUCUACGAAAAACGUUAUGACACGACUAUUUCGAAGAACAGCGGUGAAUAUUAAUAGAUAACACUAUUAGGUGGUAGGUUGAAUUUUCAGAAAGGUUUAAAGAUGUCACUAUAAAUGAAACUGAGUUAGCCUCUGUGACAUUCAGAGUCUUUUAUUACAAUGUCUGAAGUGAAUCAGCCAGGACGUUUGUAAUAACUAGUUGCUCUUAAAUAAUGAUCAUAGUUGUGAAGGAGAGUAGAAAAAUAUAAAUAUUUUCGGGUCAGUUAUGUCACGACUAUAACUUUAGUAAAAUUAUAUACCAAUAUAUGACAAAAGUUUGUGUGACUUUGUUUGUGUGACUGGCGAAACACUAGACCGAUUGUCACUAAACCUGGCAUGUACCCUAAGAACUCCAGGAGGUGACACUGUGGUCAGUAUAAUGAUCUGACCUCUAUAUCACCUCCGAGGACCCCUCUGUCUUUCUCGUACAUUGAACGGGUAUGUCUUCUGGUAAAUCUAUUAUCAACUCCAAGCUGACUAUACUUUGCCCAUUUUGUUUCAUUUUUUUUGUUUCUCUUAUAAGUUUGACUUGAUUGUACCAUCAAGGUCGUAGUAGUGAAAAUGUUCAGAGAAGACAAAAAAUCACUAUAUUCUGUUGGAUUUAGUUAUAUUAACACUUUUAGUUAAAUAGUUAAACUCGGGAUCUUUUGUUGUUGUUCUUGUUGUAAUUGAUAACUUUAAGAAUGGCUGCUCAUUUUGUAAUAUGAACAUUUCACUUAAAUCCCGACAAAAAAAAACAAUGUAUAGCUGGAAAUGAGCUACAAACUUUCUUUUGUCUUCUUAGCUACAUCAAAUUAGACUUUUUAUGACAUGUUCACAAUAUCCUAGAAACUUGCACUGGCAACUGGUGCUUUUCACAUAACAAACGGUUUUAUUUUUCUUGGUUUUUGCAUCUGUACCAAGUUUUCUAUAGCACGAAAUUAAAUUGUUCUUUAUUUUCUCUCACAACUGUUAACGAGAGAAUUUCUUGUUGUCCUUCCUCAUAAGAUUAGUUUCCUUUAGUAUCAUCUCCAUCUUUUGUCUGGUUCUAUCUGUUUCUUUUUUGUUUUAAUUUAUUCGUUUCAAAAAUUUAAUUUGUGGUCUUAUAAAGUCUAUAAAUUUUAUUUUUAGAUUUCUAGCCACGACAAAGGCUGUCGAAACCAAAAGGUAAAAUGCUGGAUAAUUCCACUACAAGUAGGACUCGAAUAAUAUUCAGAUCUAAAUCUAGUCUGAAUUUAUUUACUUUUUAACUACUAGCCGUUUAUCUGGUUUUAGAACCUGUCUGUUUCUCUAUUGUUCAUCUAUUCGUCUUUAGUAGUUUUCUUUGUGCCAGCAAGCAGUGACCAGGUGGUCAGUUUGGCAGCAUGACAAUCAAUGAAACGAAAAACAAUUCACAUAAAAUGUUAUGUUAUCUUCUAUAAUUCUAUAAUCAAAGUAAGUUUAAUAAAUUUAAUAAGAAAAAAGAAAACUAUUCACUGUAAAUAACUUGCACUAUUUUCCUUUGUACUAGGAUAAUUGUAGAUAAUAUUGAGGGUACUUAAGUAUCAUUUAGUUGCUUCAGUUUCAAAUAAGUUUUUUUAAACUACAGAACAAAGUGGAAAGUAUAUAUCUUUAAGGCCUGGGUUUUUUUUUCUCAUAUAAUCACAUGACUUGUUUGCUAUACUGAUAAACUGAUAAAUUACAUUACUUUGGUCUAAAUAUAAGUAUCCAGAGGCGGAUUGGCCCUCCGGUAUAAUGGGCAAUUGCCCGGUGGGCCCGUGCAUUUGGCGCAUUCUUAGAAAUUGAUUUUAAUUUUCAAUUGUUUAGCCAGUAUGCAGAAUGUGAUAUUGUCCGGGCUGGUCCUUCAUUGCCAAUCCGCCCCUGUAAGUAUCUGUAAUAAAACUCUCCAAUUAAAACUUAAACAGACUUUCUUGUGUUUUUUAUUGGAAAUGUUUCCACAAAUGUUCUUCACAGCAUUUCUUCUUCUCAACUAAUUAACUAUGUUAGAAUGUGUUUACAACUCCAAAAUUUCGUGGAUAAUAUUCAAAAACUCACUUUAGUCGCAUUUUGAUCACUCAAGUUUAUUUAAAUCUACAGGAAAUGCAAUACUACCGCUUAUGGAAUGAGAAUAUUCUUACAAAAUCACGUGAAUUAGAGGGGAAAAAACUUAAUGACUACACUUUAAUAUAUAACUUUAAAUAAAAAGUUCAAUACACUGAUCAUGUUGUCUUAUCUUUAAUAUUGCCUUUUAGUAAAGCUAUUGUAGGUUAUAGAACAUGUUAUUGUAUAGAAGAAAAUUACCUUAUCAGUUUCAAUAAUAUCAGAUGGUAUAUUUACAACCCUUCUCCAUUUUAUAAUUUAUUACAAUUUGUUAUAGCAACUUAUUAGCGUAAUCAUAUUCAUGUAGGGAGACAGUUUUGAGUCAGUAUCUACACUAAGUACCUACACUAAGUAUCUAUACUAAGUAUCUACACUAAGUACCUACACUAAGUAUCUAGAGUAAGUAUCUAUACUAAGUAUCUACACUAAGUACCUACAGUAAGUAUCUACACUAAGUAUCUACAGUAAGUAUCUACAGUAAGUACCUACAGUAAGUAUCUACACUAAGUAUCUACAGUAAGUAUCUACACUAAGUACCUACAGUAAGUAUCUAGAGUAAGUAUCUAUACUAAGUAUCUACACUAAGUACCUACAGUAAGUAUCUACACUAAGUAUCUACAGUAAGUACCUACAGUAAGUGUCUACAGUAAGUAUCUACAGUAAGUAUCUACAGUAAGUACCUACAGUAAGUAUCUACAGUAAGUACCUACAGUAAGUAUCUAGAGUAAGUGUCUACAGUAAGUA